UACGGAGGGUGCGAGCGUUUGUCCGGAAUCAUUGGGCGUAAAGGGCGCGUAGGUGGCUUCUUAAGCGUGCGGUGAAAGCCUGGGGCUCAACCCCGGGUCGGCCGUGCGAACUGGGGGGCUGGAGCACUGUAGAGGCAGGCGGAAUUCCGGGUGUAGCGGUGGAAUGCGUAGAGAUCCGGAAGAACACCGGUGGCGAAGGCGGCCUGCUGGGCAGUUGCUGACACUGAGGCGCGACAGCGUGGGGAGCAAACAGGG
rnacentral:rRNA from 1 species